rnacentral:tRNA from 1 species
GCCGGAGUGGCGAAACUGGUAGACGCGCGGGACUCAAAAUCCCGUUUGCCUUGGCAAGUAAGGGUUCGACUCCCUUCUCCGGCA